UAGGGAAUCUUCGGCAAUGGGGGGAACCCUGACCGAGCAACGCCGCGUGAGUGAAGAAGGUUUUCGGAUCGUAAAGCUCUGUUGUUAAGGAAGAACGAGUGUGAGAAUGGAAAGUUCAUACUGUGACGGUACUUAACCAGAAAGGGACGGCUAACUACGUGCCAGCAGCCGCGGUAAUACGUAGGUCCCGAGCGUUGUCCGGAUUUAUUGGGCGUAAAGCGAGCGCAGGCGGUUAGAUAAGUCUGAAGUGAAAGGCAGUGGCUCAACCAUUGUAGGCUUUGGAAACUGUUUAACUUGAGUGCAGAAGGGGAGAGUGGAAUUCCAUGUGUGGCGGUGAAAUGCGUAGAUAUAUGGAGGAACACCGGUGGCGAGAGCGGCUCUCUGGUCUGUAACUGACGCUGAGGCUCGAAAGCGUGGGGAGCGAACAGG
rnacentral:rRNA from 1 species